rnacentral:lncRNA from 1 species
CAGUCAUACAGAUGGAUUUUUGUCAAACUACUACAGUUUCUUACCUCUUGGCCUUAACUGAUCUGAUAUACGUAUAUUUAAAGCUGAUGUUCAACAUGGAGGAAGACUCUCAAAACAAGUUAUCCAAAGGCUGAGGAAUUACCUGGUUUGUUGAACUCACGUGUGAUAAGGAACAUGCUAUUUGCUAAUGCAAGAAACCUCCGGAUAUCCCGUAUAGGAUGCUGUCAGUAAAAGCUCCCUGGAAUGUGAUGUUCCAAAGGAUACAGAGUGGAGAAGCCGUGACUUACUAUAGGCACCCUGUCACUUCAAUUAAUACAGCAUGCCCACCUCGAGCAAAGGAUGCUCUCAAUCCAAGGAAAUAUUCCAAUGGAUCUCUCUGGCUCUGA